AUAUUGCACAAUGGGCGCAAGCCUGAUGCAGCAACGCCGCGUGAGGGAUGACGGCCUNNNGGUUGNANACCUCUCUUAGUAGGNAANNAGCGAAAGUGACGUUACCUGCAGAUAAAGCACCGGCUAACUACGUUCCAGCAGCCGCGGUAAUACGUAGGGUGCAAGCGUUGUCCGGAAUUAUUGGGCGUAAAGAUCUCGUAGGCGGCUUGUCGCGUCUGCUGUGAAAUCCCGAGGCUUAACCUCGGGCCUGCAGUGGGUACGGGCAAGCUAGAGUGCGGUAGGGGAGAUUGGAAUUCCUGGUGUAGCGGUGGAAUGCGCAGAUAUCAGGAGGAACACCGAUGGCGAAGGCAGAUCUCUGGGCCGUAACUGACGCUGAGGAGCGAAAGCGUGGGGAGCAAACAG
rnacentral:rRNA from 1 species